UAUUAUUUGUUAUUAUAUGAAUAUUAGUAUAACUUUUGACUUUGGAUAUACAGGUAUUGUUGUAUACUUUGUAUUAUUAUUUUUAACAUCUUGAUUACUUUUUAAUAUUAUAAUGCAUUUUGUAUUACUUUUAAUUGGGCAGCAUCCAUCAUACAUGGAUUGCUUUUAAAACUAUAUUAAUUUUGGGAUUCGUAUUUUCUAUAUUUGAAGCUGAUUUUAAUACUUACUAAUCUGUCUGCAAGUAAUGAGUUGUAUUCUCAUUUCCUAUAUUCUUUGAAUAAAUUUGCAUACUAAAAUACCACCCCACCGUCUGACCAGAAUUGAAGUCUCAUUUUUUGCAUCAGUUUUGGAGGCACCCGCUGGAGAUCGUUGAAGUUUUCAUUUCAUUAAGUUUUGAUGCAACGCAAGACAAAAUAAAGAGAGGUAUGAGUGCAUGCUGAUACGGACCUAUCCUGCGUACAUUUACCACACGACUGGUUCUAAGGGUGACCCUUUGGUGUGACUUCUGCAACAGUGCAGCGCAUUGACGAUUCGGGAGUGGUUGCUGUGCUCGUAGCUGGACAUCAGUGUUUGAUCCCAAGAACUGGACGCAUCGUCAUCACAUCGCACGCUAACUCUACAUCAUCUGAGAGACUUGUGCUUUAAUCUACCAGCUGAUAUAUAGAUUUACAAAUCCCUACAUCAAGAUGCCUCACAAGAUUAUUGAUCAAAAAGAUUCUUUUACUCCUAUUGCUAUCAGCAAUGAUGAAGAAAUGUAUGAAUUAGAGGUGAAGGGUAAGGAAAGAUACAAGAUGUUGAAAAAGAUCAACGAAAGUUUGGAAAUUUGCGACAUGAUACCCCAAUCUGAUAAGGACAAAUAUCUUAAGAAGCUACCCAUUAAGAAGAGAAAGUAUGAUGAUAAGUUUAGAGAUGGAAAGAAGGGUAUGCUGUAGUAAGUCCUCGACCCAGCAAAAGUCCAGGUGAGGUCAGGGGUCGGAUGCUUUUAGUGCUCCUCGUCUGAUCAGCUUGGUGAAGAAUUCCUGUCAACUUUAACGCGGCUGGGGUUAAAGAGGUAUCUACAGUCUACCUGAAAAGAUUCAUUCACUUUUAUAUUUCCUUUAUGCUUACACGAUUAAGUGCUUAUCUGAAAUGUUUUACUUACUUAUUUUUCUGCAUAUGUAUUUGUUACCUUUGACUAUUAUAUAUCUUAUUUUCAAGGGAAAGGAUUUUGGGUGCGAGUCUUUUUGUCAAGACUCGAGUGGGGGACUGAUGUAACCCAAAUUUUGACUUCUGUCAUGUGUGCAUUUGCUACGUGCUUAAAAGUACAGGACAGUCUGUUCCGAAGGCCUCAGCUGAACUUUAGACUUUAGAAGACUUCUGUAUUAAUAUAGAAAUAGAAAAACAAAAAGAUGUAGAUUUCCAUCUAGUCUCACAGAACGUUUAUGUUUUGCGCUUAUGACGCUGUUUGUCUGAGUUUUGGCUUCACACGUCUGUAUUUUGAGUUAUUUUUGAUCCUUGUGGGUUUUUGAUAAGGGAGACAAUACAGCCUGAGGUCUAUACAAUACAAUAUCUCCUGAGGUCUUUGCAACCCUGCAUUUAGCUGAGCAACACCCAAAGGCAACAACUAUCUGUUGAUCUUCUAAAAUGUGGAAGUUAAACUGGACUGCAAGGCUCAUCUGGUAUCUUUAUAUGGACCAGAGGCAUAUGACCAAUGUCUUUCUAUCUAUUUGAGACAUGACUUCAUUUCUGGAUCACGAGACUCUUUGCUUGAAGAGACUACAUAAGGAGGUGCAAACCCCUCCUUCCUCUCUCUCUCAGACUGAGUUCAGCAUAGACCCUUCUAGCUGGACUUAGUCUUUUCUCACCUUCUUUAUCUUUGAUUCCGGGCUCACUUGAAUACUUUCAACUUCUCUCAGGUUUUAUUCAUCUCAGAUAUGAUUAUUAUUAUAUUAUUUGUUAUUAUAUGAAUAUUAGUAUAACUUUUGACUUUGGAUAUACAGGUAUUGUUGUAUACUUUGUAUUAUUAUUUUUAACAUCUUGAUUACUUUUUAAUAUUAUAAUGCAUUUUGUAUUACUUUUAAUUGGGCAGCAUCCAUCAUACAUGGAUUGCUUUUAAAACUAUAUUAAUUUUGGGAUUCGUAUUUUCUAUAUUUGAAGCUGAUUUUAAUACUUACUAAUCUGUCUGCAAGUAAUGAGUUGUAUUCUCAUUUCCUAUAUUCUUUGAAUAAAUUUGCAUACUAAAAUACCA